rnacentral:rRNA from 1 species
GUAGGUGGCAAGCGUUGUCCGGAAUUAUUGGGCGUAAAGCGCGCGCAGGCGGUUCUUUAAGUCUGAUGUGAAAGCCCACGGCUCAACCGUGGAGGGUCAUUGGAAACUGGAGAACUUGAGUACAGAAGAGGAAAGCGGAAUUCCACGUGUAGCGGUGAAAUGCGUAGAGACGUGGAGGAACACCAGUGGCGAAGGCGGCUUUCUGGUCUGUAACUGACGCUGAGGCGCGAAAGCGUGGGGAGCAAACAGGAUUAGAUACCCUGGUAGUCCACGCCGUAAACGAUGAGUGCUAAGUGUUAGGGGGUUUCCGCCCCUUAGUGCUGCAGCUAACGCAUUAAGCACUCCGCCUGGGGAGUACGGCCGCAAAGGCUGA